rnacentral:rRNA from 1 species
UACGUAGGGUGCAAGCGUUGCCCGGAAUUAUUGGGCGUAAAGGGCUCGUAGGCGGUUUGUCGCGUCGGGAGUGAAAACCCAGGGCUUAACCCUGGGCUGGCUUUCGAUACGGGCAGACUAGAGGUAUGCAGGGGAGAACGGAAUUCCUGGUGUAGCGGUGAAAUGCGCAGAUAUCAGGAGGAACACCGGUGGCGAAGGCGGUUCUCUGGGCAUUACCUGACGCUGAGGAGCGAAAGUGUGGGGAGCGAACAGG